rnacentral:rRNA from 1 species
UACGUAGGGGGCAAGCGUUGUCCGGAAUCACUGGGCGUAAAGGGCGCGUAGGCGGCGCGGGUAGUCAUCGGUGAAAGUUCAGGGCUCAACUCUGAAUCGGCCGGUGAUACUCCCGUGCUCGAGCACUGUAGAGGCAGGUGGAAUUCCUGGUGUAGCGGUGAAAUGCGCAGAUAUCAGGAGGAACACCGGUGGCGAAGGCGGGUCUCUGGGCAACAACUGACGCUGAGGAGCGGAAGCGUGGGGAGCGAACAGG